rnacentral:rRNA from 1 species
AGCACGGACUUCGGUCUGGUGGCGAGUGGCGAACGGGUGAGUAAUACAUCGGAACGUACCCAGUAAUGGGGGAUAACUAUCCGAAAGGAUAGCUAAUACCGCAUACGCCCUACGGGGGAAAGAGGGGGAUCGCAAGACCUCUUGUUAUUGGAGCGGCCGAUGGCUGAUUAGCUAGUUGGUGGGGUAAAGGCUCACCAAGGCGACGAUCAGUAGCGGGUCUUAGAGGACGAUCCGCCACACUGGAACUGAGACACGGCCCAGACUCCUACGGGAGGCAGCAGUGGGGAAUAUUGCGCAAUGGGCGAAAGCCUGACGCAGCAAUGCCGCGUGGGUGAAGAAGGCCUUCGGGUUGUAAAGCCCUUUUAGUGGGGACGAUGGUGACGGUACCCACAGAAAAAGCCACGGCUAACUCCGUGCCAGCAGCCGCGGUAAUACGGAGGUGGCAAGCGUUGUUCGGAAUCACUGGGCGUAAAGCGCGCGUAGGCGGUUAAUCAAGUCAGGAGUGAAAUCCUCGGGCUCAACUCGGGAACUGCUCUUGAAACUGGUUGACUAGAGUUCGGCAGAGGAUGGCGGAAUUCCCCGUGUAGAGGUGAAAUUCGUAGAUAUGGGGAGGAACACCAGAGGCGAAGGCGGCCAUCUGGACCGAUACUGACGCUGAGGCGCGAAAGCGUGGGGAGCGAACAGGAUUAGAUACCCUGGUAGUCCACGCUGUAAACGAUGAGUGCUGGUUGUCGCGGGUAUCGACCCCUGCGGUAACGAAGCAAACGCGUUAAGCACUCCGCCUGGGGAGUACGGCCGCAAGGCUAAAA